UGCGUAGGCGUCCAGGAAAGUUAUUUGUUAAAGCCUUCGGCUUAACCGGAGAUAUGCAAGUAAAACUAUCUGGAUAGAGUUUAAGAGAGGAAAAUGGAAUUCCUGGUGUAGCGGUGACAUGCGUAGAUAUCAGGAGGAACAUCAAUGGCGAAGGCAGUUUUCUGGCUUAAAACUGACGCUGAGGCACGAAAGCGUGGGGAGCGAACAGGAUUAGAUACCCUGGUAGUCC
rnacentral:rRNA from 1 species